GUGCCUGCCACAGGCUUUCAUACCUGGUCCAGAGGAGCUCGAAGGUCCCUGGGAAUUCUGCCACUUGUAAUUCUGUGACUCAGUGCCAUAUUGCUUUAUCUGUGCUUUGUCUAGCAUGUCAGUAGCCAUCACCUGAGAAAGUUUCUCAGUUACUGUGUUUUCAGAGAUGUCUGCUGGACGUGGCACGGUGGGCAGACGCUCCUGCCUGACGGGGAAGCCAGCGAAGCUCAUCGGAUGUGGGGCGUGACGAGAUGGACCUCCAAGAUGAAGCCCGAGCCUGCCUGCUGCCAGCCUGGGGUCAGAGGCUGGGGCAAGGGCAAGGACCUCUGGGUAGUGGUGGCAGAUACACCUCAAAGACACCCCUUGAAGCUGCGGCUGCCACACCCAGAGGCGGCCGUUGGGGCCACCGCUGGGAAGGCACUGCCUUGACCAAGGGCUGCAGAGCCCAGGGAUGUUCGUCCAGCCCGUCGGCUCAGGUUGGGCCCUCGGGUCCCUUAGUGCCUACAUUCACAGAAACCAAGAGGCAAAACAAGAGCCCCACCUCAGGCUCCACUUGUGGGAAUGUACAUAGGGCCGCUGCCAUGGGAAACAGUAUGAAGGUUCCUCAAAAAAUUAAAACCAGAAUUACAAUAUGAG